CUACGGGUGGCUCCAGUGGGGAAUAUUGCGCAAUGGGCGAAAGCCUGACGCAGCAACGCCGCGUGAGCGAUGAAGGCCCUCGGGUUGUAAAGCUCUGUUGGAAGGAAAGAUGGGUUUAAGAGUUAAUACCUCUUAGGCUUGACGGUACCUUCAAAGAAAGCACCGGCUAACUCUGUGCCAGCAGCCGCGGUAAUACAGAGGGUGCAAGCGUUGUUCGGAAUCAUUGGGCGUAAAGCGCGCGUAGGCGGCCAAAUAAGUCUGAUGUGAAAGCCCAGGGCUCAACCCUGGAAGUGCAUCGGAAACUGUUUGGCUCGAGUCCCGGAGGGGGUGGUGGAAUUCCUGGUGUAGAGGUGAAAUUCGUAGAUAUCAGGAGGAACACCGGUGGCGAAGGCGACCACCUGGACGGUGACUGACGCUGAGGUGCGAAAGCAUGGGUAGCAAACAGGAUUAGAUACCCCGGUAGUC
rnacentral:rRNA from 1 species